GGUAAUGUAGCCUAGUGGUAAGCAGCGCGAGUCUAGCAUAUAAGAGUUCGCAAGUUCGAUUCUUGCCUCUUCCG